AGAUGAACUAUGUGCGACAAACAUGACUCGGGAGGAUCACAAAUAUAGAACAGUUUCAUAUGGUGCAGAUGAUUGGUCAAGUCUGAUUUUCGAUCAGAAAGUGCAUCUUUCUCCUCGAUUCGCUGUGUUUGCCGCUCCGGCGAUGCAAGACUUCCUCGGCUCAGUCCGUCGAUCGCUGGUCUUCAAGCCGUCCGGCGAAGAAUCGGCGGGAUUUGGAGGAUUUGUGGAAAAGAUCGGGUCUAGUAUCCGGAGAUCGCGAAUCGGGAUAUUUGAGAGGCCUCCGGUCCAUGCUUUGCCUCCAAUUGCGACGCCGCCGCGAGGAGUGGUGAAGGCAGUGCCGCCGGUGGAGGAGGAGUCGCCUCUGCCGCCGAUGGAAGUGUCGGUGGAAGAUGAUCUGGUGGUAGUUAGGGAUUUAGAUGAAGCAGUGACGACUCCAAAGACGGUGAAAGAUGAACAAUUAAAGAAGAAGGAGGCCGCCUUGCCGGCUCCGAUCCGGUGGAGGAAAGGGGAAUUGAUUGGGUGCGGUGCGUUUGGUAGGGUUCACAUGGGGAUGAAUUUGGAUUCCGGCGAGUUGCUCGCUGUUAAAGAGGUUUCGAUUGCGGUGAACAGCACUUCGAAGAAGACACAGGAAUAUAUAAUGGAGCUCGAAAAAGAAGUGAAUCUAUUGAAAAAUCUCUCCCAUCCAAACAUUGUGAGAUACUUAGGAACUGCAAGAGAAAAUGAUUCACUCAAUAUAUUACUGGAAUUUGUGCCAGGUGGAUCCAUUUCAUCACUCUUAGGAAAGUUUGGGUCUUUCCCUGAAUCCGUUAUCAAGAUGUACACAAAGCAAUUGUUGUUAGGGCUGGAGUAUCUGCACAAGAAUAAAAUCAUGCACAGGGACAUCAAGGGUGCAAAUAUUCUUGUUGACAAUAAGGGUUGCAUUAAACUUGCUGAUUUUGGAGCAUCCAAGAAAGUUGAAGCAUUGGCCACCAUAAAUGGUGCAAAAUCUAUGAAGGGUACUCCAUAUUGGAUGGCGCCUGAAGUUAUUGUUCAAAGUGGUCACAGCUUUUCGGCAGAUAUAUGGAGUGUUGGAUGCACAGUUAUUGAAAUGGCUACUGGAAAAGCUCCUUGGAGCCAGCAGUAUCAAGAGGUUGCUGCUCUUUUUUAUGUUGGUACAACAAAAUCCCAUCCACCAAUACCGGAUCAUCUUUCUGAUAAGGCGAAGGAUUUCCUGUUGAAAUGCUUACAAAAGGAGCCGGAUCUGAGGCCUACUGCGUCGGAUUUGCUGAAGCAUCCAUUUGUAACUCAAGAAACUCGGGAAUCACAUCGCCUUCUUCGAUCUUCACUUUUGCAGGACAGCUCUGGGAAACGAUCGUCUGUUCUUGGGGUUGAAACUAAGAAGUCCUUCUCAACCACUAGUCCAGAGCAGUUCUCAGCACAAGGAUCCCUGUGGGCACCCGUUAACUUUGAUGAUGAUGAUGAUAUGUGUAGAAUCGAUGACAAUGACGAUCUUGUUACUGGUGCAUCUAUGAAAUUCAGCCAUCAUCUUCUUUCCAGGGAUUGUAAUCAGAGCUAUAAUCCUAUGUCCGAGCCAAAUGAUGAUUGGGCUUGCAAGUUUGAUGGAAGUCCCGAGAUGAUUAAAAGUGGGAUUAUGCAUGGAGACAGAUCAUUAGGAUCUGGUGAGGUAAAUUGUGGUUUCACAUUUCCAGUAGGACAAUCAGGAUCUGAAGAUGACGAUGAAGAAACAGAGUCAAAGAUUAGAGCAUUCCUGGACGAAAAGGCUUUGGAAUUAAAGAGGCUGCAAACACCUCUCUAUGAAUUCUACAAUUCCUUGAAUGUUGCCAGUCCUCCAAGCCCGGUCGGCAUUGGCAACAAGGAGAAUAUCUCAAGCAAUUGCAACUUGCCUCCCAAAAGCAGUCGAUCUCCCAACAGGUUGGGGAGUAGAAGACUUUCCACAGCCCCUGAUAUUGAGUACGCUUCAAGUCCGGGGAGAUGUUCCAGGCGUGUAUCAAAUAUUGGUGACGUGAACUGUCAAGCUUCUCAAGACGUUCGGGAGCUGCUUAUUGAUUCUCAUAUCGAGCCCCUUACUCCAAGCUCUAGGCUGAGCGAGUCCGAGAAAAAGAAAUGGAAAGAAGAACUUGAUGAAGAGUUGGAAAGGACUAGAGAGCUCAUUCGACAAGCAGGCGGGGCAAAAACAUCUUCACCCAAAGAUCGGAUUCUGAAUAGAAAAAGAGAUCGAUUAAGGUUUGCAUCUCCUGGGAAAUAAAUUUUUUGGCAACGACAAAAUUGAGCAGUCAAGAAGAUAUAUCUGAUCUUCAAGACAAUAUGGAUUUCUAUUAAAUCGAACAUCUGAAUAAUCGUUGCGACGCAUACUUUCCCUGAUCCAUUGUAAUGCAGUGCUUCUGCAAAAUCUCUGAGUUUCUCUCUCAAAUCCAACAAAUUCAGACCAAUCCCUUUCUCUUGUCCUUGUCUUAAAAUUAUGAGAAAGAACUUUUCUCUCUCUGCCUUAAGCAACAAGUGAUGCAUGUCUUUCUUGCCCCAUUUUCAAUAUAUUUACAGAUAUAUAUAUAUAUAUAUUAUACAUGUGUGUGUGUAUGAUUGCAUCAAUUGGAUAAGCUUCACCAUUCUAGUGGACAUUAAUGGAACAAUU